rnacentral:rRNA from 1 species
CAUGCAGUCGACGAGAAANCCUCGGGGGUGAGUAGAGUGCGACCGGGUGAGNACGCGUAGGGAUCUGCUUUCAGUGAGAAUACCCUCGAGAAUCGAGGCUGAAUACUGCAUACGUCCNUAGGGGAGAAACGAUGGCCUCUGCUGUCGCUGAAAGAUGAACUUGCGUACUAUUAGCUGUUGGGUGAGGUAAAGGCUCACCAAGGCUAUGAUGGUUAGCCGGCUUGAGAGGGUGUACGGCCACAUUGGGACUGAGAUACGGCCCAGACUCNUACGGGAGGCAGCAGUAGGGAAUACUGCACAAUGGGCGAAAGCGUGAUGCAGCGACGCCGCGUGGAGGAUGACGGUUUUCGGAUUGUAAACUCCUGUUAAGAGGGAAGAAAGGCAUACGAGUAAUAUUCGUAUGAGAUGACGGUACCUCUAGAGAAAGCUCCGGCUAACUUCGUGCCAGCAGCCGCGGUAAUACGAAGGGAGCUAGCGUUAUUCGGAAUCACUGGGCGUAAAGGGCGUGUAGGCGGCUUGUUAAGUCAGUUGUUAAAGAUCAUGGCUUACCCAUGAAAGGGCAAUUGAUACUGGCAGGCUAGAGUUCAAGAGAGAGGAGCGGAAUUCUCGGAGUAGCGGUAAAAUGCGUAGAUCUCGAGAGGAACACCGAUGGCGAAGGCAGCUCUUUGGCUUGAUACUGACGCUGAGGCGCGAAAGCGUGGGGAGCAAACAGGAUUAGAUACCCUGGUAGUCC